rnacentral:rRNA from 1 species
UGAUACCUACGGGACGCAGCAGUGGGGAAUAUUGCACAAUGGGGGGAACCCUGAUGCAGCGACGCCGCGUGAGUGAAGAAGUAUUUCGGUAUGUAAAGCUCUAUCAGCAGGGAAGAAAAAAAUGACGGUACCUGAGUAAGAAGCACCGGCUAAAUACGUGCCAGCAGCCGCGGUAAUACGUAUGGUGCAAGCGUUAUCCGGAUUUACUGGGUGUAAAGGGAGCGUAGGCGGCGCGUUAAGUCUGAUGUGAAAACCCGAGGCUCAACCACGGGAGUGCAUUGGAAACUGGCGGG